UGAGUAACCUGCCCUUAACUCCGGGGUAAGCCUGGGAAACCGGGUCUAAUACCGGAUACAACGGACCACCGCGUGGCGGUCCGUGGAAAGCUUUAUGCGGUUUUGGAUGGACUCGCGGCCUAUCAGCUUGUUGGCGGGGUAAUGGCCCACCAAGGCGACGACGGGUAGCCGGCCUGAGAGGGUGACCGGCCACACUGGGACUGAGACACGGCCCAGACUCCUACGGGAGGCAG
rnacentral:rRNA from 1 species